rnacentral:rRNA from 1 species
AGAGACAGCAGUAGCGCGGUAAUACAGAGGGUGCGAGCGUUAAUCGGAUUUACUGGGCGUAAAGCGUGCGUAGGCGGCUUUUUAAGUCGGAUGUGAAAUCCCUGAGCUUAACUUAGGAAUUGCAUUCGAUACUGGGAAGCUAGAGUAUGGGAGAGGAUGGUAGAAUUCCAGGUGUAGCGGUGAAAUGCGUAGAGAUCUGGAGGAAUACCGAUGGCGAAGGCAGCCAUCUGGCCUAAUACUGACGCUGAGGUACGAAAGCAUGGGGAGCAAACAGGAUUAGAUACCCCCGUAGUCCCUGUCUCUUAUACA